CGAGUUACUGUGUGCGAAUCGUUUGAUACAAUUAGACAGAUACUCUGUCUAAUUGGCACAGACACCUGUUCUCUCUGAGAAUAAACAAACGACAAAUAAUCUGAUGCUGCCCUCAGUCCCGAAAAACCUCUUCUCUGGAACUCGUAAUGGGUCCCCAUAGCCACUUACCUAGGCAACGAGCGUGGAGGGAGACAAAAACUGGGACAAGAUGAGCUUAAAGGACCACUAUAGUGCCAGGAAAACAUACUCGUUUUCCUGGCACUAUAGUGCCCUGAGGGUGCCCCCACCCUCAGGG